rnacentral:lncRNA from 1 species
AAUCACGAAAUAUAAAUUAUGAUCACCAUUUUUGACGAUAGCAAGACAAUACAACAUGUUACAACUUGCAAUGAGCAUGUUUUGUUUGCGUUCAUAGGGCGAAGUGGACCCAAAUCCGUGGCACCUAUUACCAGAACCCUAAAACUAUGUUGCAUGAAGGGAGGCGAGCGCUUCAAUUUUAUAUUGGAGAGACGAUCUUUGCCUUGAUCGUACACGACGGAAAUCUCACUAGAUCUGUAAUCUGUGCUUUCGAGACAUUGUGCAUGAAGAAAUCGCCGCCUCUUGCUUCUUUUAUGGCGUUGUGAUGAGGUUUGAAUCCUUCAGAAAACGAGAAGAAAUUUAAGUGGAAUCGAACAGGAUCUUUCGAUUUCUAUUCUCGGCCGUGGCUUCGAGUUUUGUCUCACCCCAUUAACGAGAAGUGCAACAAAAUUCGGGUCCACGUUAUUUUAAAACUCUCUAUCAUGAAUGCGCGUGUAGGUUUAUUGUAAGCGGCAUGGAACGGGAACGGUCGCAGAACGAAAUGCAGGGUUUGAAUGACUUAGUUCUGCGCAGGAACCGAGUGGUGAUCCACAUCGUUUGAAUGAAGCACAAGGCGAAUCCGGGAUGCUGGUGGUCUGUAAUUCAGGGAGUUCCAGAGACCAUGCGGCGCAGUUCCGUCGAUUAGGGGACGCGAUCGCCGCGCAUACUUUUGCGUCACGUGUGGAAUUAUGGUAGGAUCGGGAACAAGUGUGUGCAUGGACGCUCCAGAUCCUUCCUUCUGAAAAAAAUAAUUCAUUUGUAAUAGCGAACGAUUGCCCGUUUCGGCGGUCCACAGCAACUACAAGCAACACGCGGUAUUUUGUCAGUACUUGUGAAACUUGUAAUACGGUGUUUCAGCAUCAUGAGCUCAGCCACGACACUCAAUUUCUUAGCAAUUCAAUCAGAAUUUGUUUCCACGAUCGUUUAUAAUUUCCUCACAUCAGCGAUAUCAUUAAAAUAAAAACAUGGAACUUAUUCUAUAUUCCACAAUAUCAUCACGAUGUAAUUUUACUGUAUCUGACCAACAUCUCGUGCAUUUUCUCGUGCAAUUCAGAGCCCGAUCCUUCGCUUGCUCGAACUAUUGUGCAAAUUUAUUUCACGAGUCGCUUCCGAUAAGAUUCGAGCAUUGACUGAACACAACCACCACGGACCACUUUGCCAACCUACUCUCCCAAAACCCUAAU